UAACAAGGAUUCCCCUAGUAACUGCGAGUGAAGCGGGAAAAGCUCAAAUUUAAAAUCUGGCGGGUUCCCCGUCCGAGUUGUAAUCUGGAGAAGCGUUUUCCGUGUCGGACCGUGUACAAGUCCCUUGGAAUGGGGCGUCAUAGAGGGUGAGAAUCCCGUCCAUGACACGGACUACCGAUGCUUUGUGAUACGCUCUCGAAGAGUCGAGUUGUUUGGGAAUGCAGCUCAAAAUGGGUGGUAAAUUCCAUCUAAAGCUAAAUAUUGGCGAGAGACCGAUAGCGAACAAGUACCGUGAGGGAAAGAUGAAAAGCACUUUGGAAAGAGAGUUAAACAGUACGUGAAAUUGUUGAAAGGGAAACGCUUGAAGUCAGUCGCGUCCGUCGAGACUCAGCCUUGCCUUUGGGCCUGGUGUAUUUCUCGGUGGACGGGUCAACAUCGAUUUUGAAUGGCAGAUAAAGGUCUGGGGAAUGUGGCACCUCCGGGUGUGUUAUAGCCCCUCUCCGUAUAUGCUGUUUGGGAUCGAGGACCGCAGCACGCCCUUGUGGCCGGGGUUUUACCCACGUACCGUGCUUAGGAUGUUGGCAUAAUGGCUUUAAGCGACCCGUCUUGAAACACGGACCAAGGAGUCUAACAUGCCUGCGAGUGUUAGGGUGCAAAACCCUUGCGCGUAAUGAAAGUGAAAGUUGGGACCUCUGUCGAGGAGGGCACCGACGCCCGGCCCUGAACUCUUGUGACGGUGCUGCGGUAGAGCAUGUAUGUUGGGACCCGAAAGAUGGUGAACUAUGCCUGAAUAGGGCGAAGCCAGAGGAAACUCUGGUGGAGGCUCGUAGCGAUUCUGACGUGCAAMRCGAUCGUCAAAUUUGGGUAUAGGGGCGAAAGACUAAUCGAACCAUCUAGUAGCUGGUUCCUGC
rnacentral:rRNA from 1 species